GACAGAGGUGCCAAGCGUUAUGCGGAAUCACUGGGCUUAAAGCGUGUGUAGGCGGAUCGUUAAGUGCCUUGUGAAAUCCCAGGGCUUAACCGUGGAACUGCUCGGCAUACUGGCGGUCUUGAGCAACCUAGGGGCGAGCGGAACAAAUGGUGGAGCGGUGAAAUGCGUAGAUAUCAUUUGGAACGCCAAUGGUGAAAACAGCUCGCUGGGGGUUUGCUGACGCUGAGACACGAAAGCCAGGGGAGCGAACGGG
rnacentral:rRNA from 1 species